rnacentral:ncRNA from 1 species
CAUAAACUUUAGGGGUGUCCUUAACUUUGGUUAGGUCUGAGAAAUACCCUUUGAACCUGAUGCGGUUAGUACCGACGAAGGGAAAAGUAAAUAUCACAUU